GAUGAACGCUAGCUACAGGCUUAACACAUGCAAGUCAAGCGAGAAAUUCAAGAUCAAAUCUUCGGGAGAGAGAUUGAAUGGAAAGCGGCGGACGGGUGAGUAACGCGUAGGUAACCUGCCCCAUACAGAGGGAUAGCCACUGGAAACGGUGAUUAAUACCUCAUAAUACCGGAUAUUCACAUGGAUAACCGGUCAAAGGUUUAUCGGUAUGGGAUGGACCUGCGUCUGAUUAGUUAGUUGGUGAGGUAACGGCUCACCAAGGCGACGAUCAGUAGCCGACCUGAGAGGGUGAUCGGCCACAUUGGAACUGAGACACGGUCCAA
rnacentral:rRNA from 1 species